rnacentral:rRNA from 1 species
UACGUAGGUGGCAAGCGUUGUCCGGAUUUACUGGGCGUAAAGAGCGCGCAGGCGGUCGUUCAAGUCGCGUGUGAAAGCCCCCGGCUCAACUGGGGAGGGUCACGCGAUACUGAUCGACUCGAAGGCAGGAGAGGGUAGUGGAAUUCCCGGUGUAGUGGUGAAAUGCGUAGAUAUCGGGAGGAACACCAGUGGCGAAGGCGACUAACUGGACAUGUAUUGACGCUGAGGUGCGAAAGCGUGGGGAGCAAACAGG